CUGGCCGCCGGCCGCUCCUCCGCGCGCUGUUCCGCACUUGCUGCCCUCGCCCGGCCCGGGGCGCCGCUGCCAUGCGGCUGGCGCUGCUCUGGGCCCUGGGGCUCCUGGGCGCGGGCAGCCCUCUGCCUUCCUGGCCGCUCCCAAAUAUAGUAUUCUCCUUUAAGUCUCAGCAUGCAAUGUGGAAGCCCCUCAGGUACCUAAGGGCCUUGAUGGGCUGGGAGCUGGUGGAUCUGAGGGCACCUGCCACCCCCAGCCCUGCUGUCGAUUCCCUCAGUACUGUCUUGGGGUGUCCUGGGACCUGCAGGUGGCACCGAGGAGCAGCAGGCAGAGUCAGAGAAGGCCCCGAGGGAGCCCUUGGAGCCCCAGGUCCUUCAGGACCUCAAAAAGGUGCUUCAGACCAGUCUGCCUGAGCCCCUGAGGAUCAAGUUGGAGCUGGACGGUGACAGUCAUAUCCUGGAGCUGCUACAGAAUAGAGAGUUGGUCCCAGGCCGUCCAACCCUGGUGUGGUACCAGCCCGAUGGCACUCGGGUGGUCAGUGAGGG
rnacentral:sRNA from 1 species